rnacentral:lncRNA from 1 species
AACCCGAUUUCAGGGCUAUUUUGACUGGACUACUUACUGAUGAUAUAUCCAUGGAAACAUUCGCCAUCAAGCUGUGACGUCGCAUGCGCACGAAGGCUCCCACGUGGGGGAAAAUCUCACGUUCUGGCAUCACUGUUUCGCGCCAUAAAGAAUCUGACAUUUUUUAAACAUUAAGGUGCAUCUUUGGCUUAUUUGGAUAAAUAUUACUGGGAUUUAUUCUGUGUAAGGAAUCUUGGCCAUUAGGAGUGAAGAAUAAUUUGAAUGAAUUGCAUAAUUAGAAAAAUGAAGACAGAAGAAAUUCGACCUUAUUUCUAAAUGGAACGCCGACUAGAAAAGAUGGCCCUAUGCAGCAGCAUCUCUUGGAGAUCGUCGUACAAGAUUGCUCGUUCUAUUCGAUCGAACAAGGGGAGGAGGAGGGGGAAGAAGGGGGGAGGAGGGGGACGGCAAAGGUCAGGAGACCGGCUUGGGCGCUGGAUUCCAAAGUUACUUUCACACGUGACUAGGAAAUUAUCUAUUCGCAUUGGUCGUUCGCGAUUCUUCGAUUUAUGUCGUGUGCGACCACGAUUACGUCUUUCUGCAUCUUUAAAGAACCGAACAAAUCCAUUGGGAGAGGGAUGGGAGGAUUCUUAGGUCGUCGACCUCGAUCCAAAUUUUCAAACUUAUUAUUCAAAUGUUUUGUACAAAUACAAAUAAUCCAAUUUAGUCAAACAAAAAUAGUGAUGAUGAUGAUGAUGAUGACUACAAACUACUGCAAACAAUAAAUGAUUAUUCUUGAGAAGAAGUUUCUUAAGAGUUGGACAUUUUCUAGAAAAACAUUUACAAUUAGAGUACAUAAGUUUACCGUACGGUUUACGAUACGACUUGAGUGCUUCUUGGAAGAUGCAAGUUAAUAAGCGUUGUAAAGGGCGAGAAUGAAAGAGAAGGAGAAGAUAAUAUAGAAGUAAUUAUAUCUUAGCGAUUAAUAUACUCUUUUUAAGUACGGAAGAGAAGCUUUAUUCUCUACCUAUCCUAUUAAAGAACAGGUGAAGGAUGGAUGAGAAAAAAGAUAGUUCGUCAAGGAUCGUGGAUGGAAGCUUGUGGUUCUACAUGGCACUUGGACUGACGUGACGGUACAUCGAUCUAAUAGAAUUUAUAGGGAUCAUACGGGAUAUCCAUUCAAGGACGACUGGUCUUUACCGAGUUCAUCGACUCUCUUUUUCUUUUUCUUACUUUUAUUUCAUUUGGAAAUUUUGAUCACUUGUGAUUGAUCUUUCCGUUUUAUUCCAUUUAAUUAAUUAAUUACUUUAAACAAUACUAGGGGUGCCCCGGCCAC